rnacentral:lncRNA from 10 species
ACAUACUUGUGGGAAGAAGGAUGAAUAUUGUGAGGAGAAUAAUCCUUCUCUACUCUCUCUACCCUUCUUCACAAUAUUCUGGAUCUCCGUGAGCUUACCUAUAGGAGCUACAUCAAGAGACUCCCUUUUUAUCUGCCUUCAGAUUUGAUUUGUUUGCUAGAGAGCCCCAGGGAGAGAAUGGUAAAAAAGAGAAGAGUAAGGUUGAAAUAUUAAAUCACCCAGCUCCUUACCUGUGUGGCUGCCUUGGUUGGACUAAAUCCCUUGACAUAAGAAUGUGACUGGAUAGCCCCUUUGAAUGUGACUGUAUCCUUCUGCGAUCUAGAAACUGCUCUCUUCCCUUGCCUGUUCAGACCUAGAGGUAAGUAUUUUUAUAACUACCCACUACUCAAGUGGUUAUAAAAAUAAAUACUCUGCCUACAACUUAGUAAAUAAUCUCUUAAUAAGCUUUUCUCAUGUUACCCAAUACAUACAGCAUCUGUUUUCUGCCAGGAUUCAUAUUGAUAUAGACAGCUAAGGAAAAUGUGUCUUUGCUGGGGCUCAUGAAGUAGUGACAAGUUCAUAUUGAAAAGAGUGAAUUAGUGUUCCUUUCAAUCACAUGGGAAAAUGAGCAGGGAUUUUUAAUAGAACUAGAUGAAGCACAUAAGAAAAGACAGACUGAGGAACAAAUUGCAGGUGGAAAAAUGAAAGAGCACAUUAAAUUCCGUGCUCUAAAAAUAUAUACUGAAUUAAGUUGAUCCUUGAAAUUUUGGGGUGGAGUGAUAUUUGAAUCAUAACUUGGGAUCUUGAGUAAUUCUUAGGGUCUAAGAAACAUUGUUUGUAUCAUGAUUUUUCAAAAUAUGACAAUAUUCACUAAUCCUUUGUUAAUCCAUCUUCCAUUUUUUCUGUAUCUUUACAAAUGAGUUUAUUCCCUUGUUCUCUACAGAUUGUACAUGAGGGCUUUCAGAUGUCUAUGAUGAGUGAUAUCUUCACUGUUUAAUGUGCUAAUUACUUGUUGUACCUUUACUUUCCCAGUGUGAACUUAGCUUCCAAUUCCAUUUGAAAGUAGGAGCUGAUGUAAGCUUCUUUUGUUUGGUUUUAUUUACAAGGAGUUCUGCCACAUUCCUGUGUUAUAUUCAUUUGGAAAAGACUCCAGGCAACAUUUUUUUCCAGAUAAAUUUGAUCUACCUUUAUAAAUUGUCGACAUAAUUCUCUGGCAGCUGGCCAUUACUUUUUAAUCAAAUAAAUGCUCUUCACUAUUAUUGAAAGUGAGGAGGAAACCCAUAAUCUAUCAAGAAUCUCUGAAUUUUUUUUGAAGUAAUAAAAAGUAAAAUUUGACUUUAAGCUAGAGAUAAUAAGUCCUUAGUUGUUACUUUAGCUGAAUAAAUAUGAGCAGGUCUUGACCAAAUUUCACCCUCCUGUGUAAAUAGAAAAUAUAAUUUAAAUAUCAAUGUGACUAAAUCUUUGAAAU